rnacentral:rRNA from 1 species
GGGCCCGCACAAGCGGAGGAACAUGUGGUUUAAUUCGAUGAUACGCGAGGAACCUUACCCAGGCUCGAACGGCAAGCUGAAUGUUACCAGAGAUGGUUUCAGUCUUCGGACAGUUUGUCGAGGUGCUGCAUGGUUGUCGUCAGCUCGUGCCGUGAGGUGUCGGCUUAAGUGCCAUAACGAGCGCAACCCUUGCUGUCAGUUGCCAUCGGGUAAUGCCGGGCACUCUGGCGGGACUGCCAUCGCAAGAUGUGAGGAAGGUGGGGAUGACGUCAAAUCAGCACGGCCCUUACGUCUGGGGCUACACACGUGUUACAAUGGAGGGUACAGAGGGUUGCCACCCGGUGACGGGGCGCUGAUCCCGAAAUCCCUUCUCAGUUCGGAUUGGAGUCUGUAACCCGACUCCAUGAAGCUGGAUUCGCUAGUAAUCGCGCAUCAGCCAUGGCGCGGUGAAUACGUUCCCGGGCCUU